AGAGAAAUCAUCAGUGAUAAGAAUUAUCAAGUUGAUUCUGGUGGUUGUGAUGCCAAUUGCUCUACUUCUGUUUUGUCUGAGGAAGAAGAAAACUCUGAGCUCCACUGCUGAACCAAAUGAACAGAUAGAGACUAUAGAGUUGAUGUCUGGUCCUGAUUGUACCAACGCCUCAGCCUUGAACCAAAACUGUAUGUGACUUUCUUCAGAUGGAGUCAAACCAGAGGGGACUCACCUGGAUCGGAACAAAGAAAAGCCACUGAAGUAGUCCAGUGUAGAACGAGGGAAGGUGGAGGAAGUUGAUACAUUUACCUUCAAGGAAAGUUUUCAUUUUUAGUUUUUAUUAGCAGCAGCAUAUAUUUUUACCUGUGCAGGUACAUUACAUACGCUCAGUAUUUAACUCAGUAUGUAAAAUAUUAUUUAAAGUUUUAAUGUAAUAAAUAGUUUUUAAGAAAUACUGGUUGCCCUUUCACGUCACACCUGUCCUGGUAAUGAAAGCCAAUAAAGUCUGUUCAAAACAAACACAUUGAACAGGACAUAUCUCACAGCAUGUACUGUCUGUAUUUAAACACUGAAAUCAAACAGAAGCCCAGCUCUGUCACACUUUGCAAGUGUUUCAUUUUCAAAUUGUUGCAGCCAGCUUCCACAACAACUCUGCAGUUUGAUCAUCAUUUCAGUUUCCUCUCACUGCUGUAGAGGGUGACAGUGUGCAGGAAGUUUUAGAUUUCAGCUUUAAACAAACUGCUUGUGUUUAUCAUUCAGAACAAAGUUUGUAUUUAUCAGUAAUCAACAAAAAUACAAUUUCUCAAAUGUUUGUAGGGGUCAGGGUAAUUUCUUUGGUUUAAAAAAACAGUUUCAAAAAUACACCUAUCAGCCGUAAUGUUAUGACCACUUACAGGUGAUGCGAAUAACACCGAUUAUCUCGUUACCAUGGCACCUGUCAGUGGGUGUGAUAUAUCAGGCAGCAGGUAAACACUUUGUCUCAUAGUUGAUGUGCUACAAGCAGGAAAAAUUGGCUGUGUAACGCCUCAUGUCUCUGAACAGUGCUGCUGAAAAUGACAUGAUGUGGACGAGUUUCUUAAGUGUUAAAUAUAUAUAAUAUAAUGGCGGUUUUAUUCGUCCGCUUUAUUAUACACUGUACUUAGACUUUACAAAUUCUAACUUUUUGUGUCAUGAUUAUACAUAAGAUCAAUCCAGGUUGUUGAGGGACUUUCCUUGCUCUGUAACGUCACAAAACAUUAACAAUGACUUUGAUGUGUCAUUAUCACACUGUCUGAGGCCAAACCAUUCUGAGUUACAGUACUUUGUAUGAGAUCAUUAGAAUAAGAAAUCCAAUUGUAUGGUCUGGCUUAGUGUUUAUAGAUGUGACCUCUUUUUGAACAUGUAUUUCUUAUGUGGGGACUAGGCCUGAA